CCUACGGGUGGCAGCAGUAGGGAAUAUUGCUCAAUGGGGGAAACCCUGAAGCAGCAAUGCCGCGUGGAGGAUGAAGGUUUUAGGAUUGUUAACUCGUUUUGUUAGCGAAGUUAAUUGCGGUAUCUCACGAGUAUUCACCGGCUAAUUCCGUGCCGGCAGCCGCGGUAACACGGAGGGUGCAAGCGUUACUCGGAUUCACUGGGCGUAAGGCGUGCGCAGGGGGGCUUGUAAGUCAGCUGUGAAAUCCUGUAGCUUAACUACAGAACUGCAUUUGAAACUUUGGGUCUAGAGUGUGGGUGCGGUAGGUGGAAUGCUUGGUGUAGGGGGAAAAUCCGUAGAUAUCAAACGGAAUACUCAUUGCGAAGGCGACCUACUGGAACAUUACUGACGCUCAUGCACGAAAGCGUGGGGAGCAAACAGGAUUAGAUACCCUGGUAGUC
rnacentral:rRNA from 1 species